GGUGGCGCUGCGGCCAUGCGGACGCCCCGGGUGGUUCUCGGGCGCCUGGGCGCGCAGGCUUCUGGGGACCCUCAGAGCUGCGGCGGCGACGCGCGGGGCGGCCGCGGAUCCUGCGCACGUCCCUCCCCAGCCUCCGAGCCCAGCUCCUCACUGGACAGAGGAGAGAUCUCGACCUUGGAUGUGGAUGGGCCCGGUGUCUGCGCUCUGAUCGCGGCCGUUUCUGUUGCUCCGCAGGCCCUCCCACCUGUCACCCUGGCCCUUCUCUGCUUGGACGGAGUCUUCCUCUCCUCGGCCGAGAAUGACUUCGUGCACCGCAUCCAGGAGGAGCUGGACCGCUUCCUGCUGCAGAAGCAGCUGUCAAAGGUCCUUCUUUUCCCUCCACUCUCCAGUCGCCUCCGGUACCUGAUCCACAGGACAGCAGAGAAUUUUGAUCUUUUGAGCAGCUUCUCUGUUGGGGAGGGCUGGAGGAGGAGAACGGUCAUCUGUCACCUGGACAUCAGGUUACCCAGUUCAGAUGGACUCUCUGGCCCCUGCCGCCCUCCUGCCUCCCACCCUAGCAAGUACCGAGGUCCUAGGCCCGCUUCAAGCCAGGGAGCGGCCGCUGGUCCCCGAGGGGCGCGGGCCGGCCGGUGGCACCGCGGACGCAAGCCGGACCAGGCUUUGUAUGUGCCCCGCGUGCUGCGCAGGCAAGAGUGGGCGCCACCCACUCCCCCAGGGCUCCAGGGAGAUGCUCCAGCCGGAGGGCCCCCAGAAGACCCCGGAGAUAUGGGUGCUGGGGACCCCAGCUCUGAUCAGGAACUUCCUGUGUCAGUGACUCAGGCAGCAGAGGACGGAAAAGGCCCGGGCAAAAGUUGUAAGAAAGAGUCGCUGCCGGACUCAGUGGCCGCCGAGUCCCUGGGGCCUGAGAGCCACUCAGGGACGGGACACGGGUCAGAGACGGCCACACAGCCUGGGCCGGGUCUGCAGCCCGACUUGGAAGAGGGGAAUGGGAGUGAGCUGGAGAGGAGCCUGGCGGCCAAGGAGGAAGAGGAGGAGGUGGAAGAGGAGGGGCCUGGCAGCUGCUCCGAGGACGAGGACGAUUACAGUGAGCUGCUGCAGGAGAUAACGGACAACCUGACCGAGAAGGAGAUUCAGGUAGAGAAGAUCCACGUGGACACGUCCUCCUUCACAGAGGAGCUGCCUGGAGAGAAGGACUUUGCCCACGUGGUGGAGAUCUAUGACUUUGAGCCGGCGCUCACCACCGAGGACCUGCUGGCAGCGUUUUCCGAGUUCCAAGAGAAGGGGUUCAGGAUCCAGUGGGUGGACGACACGCAUGCGCUCGGAGUCUUCCCGUGCCUGGCCUCAGCCUCAAGCAGUGGGUCAGGUGACCUCUGUUUUACAGAUGGGGAGACCGAGGUUCCCAGGAUGUCAGGUCAAGGUUACAAAACCGCUCUAUGUCAAAGCAGGGGACGCAAGCCAGCCCCCAGCUGUCACUCUGGUGCUCCUUCCUCUUGGCCACUUUUCCGAGCUGCCCCUGACACACCACUGCUCACUUUGGGCGUAUUUAUAAAGAGCCACCCCUCUGCCCUGCCUGCCUGGCCUUCUCAGAACCAUGGGCUUCUCAACACAGAGCUGCGAGUGACCAUGGCUGGGUCGGGCCCCAUCCUCAGGAGAGCCUGAAGUUUCAGGGACAGGGGCCAGUGUCUAGGGAGAAAGAGGUCCGGGGCAUGGUGGGGGCCUCAACCCCAGAGAGGGAGCCACUGAAAGGGAGGUGGGGGGUAUGGGAGGAAGGAACAGGGGGUCAGGCACGUUGGCAGCUGCCUUCUGGGCUCUAUCCAGCUGUGUGGCGUGGGCAGGCCACGUCCUGGCCUCAGUUUCCUCAUCUGUACGGUGGCUUGGACCUGAAGCCCCUCCCAGCUCUGACGUGCUCUCUGCUGAGGCCCUGACCAGGGAUUUCUCCACGCUCAAAAUCCGGCCCCUCAUGCAGGGAACCAAGCAGUCCAAGCUGAAGGCCCUGCAGAGGCCCAAGCUCCUGCGUCUGGCGAAG